GGGGUUGUGGCUCAGAGGUGGAGCGCUUGCCUAGCAUGCAUGAGGCACUGGGUUCAAUCCUCAGCACCACA
rnacentral:tRNA from 1 species